UUAAGCGACUAAGCGUACACGGUGGAUGCCCUGGCAGUCAGAGGCGAUGAAGGACGUGCUAAUCUGCGAUAAGCGUCGGUAAGGUGAUAUGAACCGUUAUAACCGGCGAUUUCCGAAUGGGGAAACCCAGUGUGUUUCGACACACUAUCAUUAACUGAAUCCAUAGGUUAAUGAGGCGAACCGGGGGAACUGAAACAUCUAAGUACCCCGAGGAAAAGAAAUCAACCGAGAUUCCCCCAGUAGCGGCGAGCGAACGGGGAGCAGCCCAGAGCCUGAAUCAGUGUGUGUGUUAGUGGAAGCGUCUGGAAAGGCGCGCGAUACAGGGUGACAGCCCCGUACACAAAAAUGCACAUGCUGUGAGCUCGAUGAGUAGGGCGGGACACGUGGUAUCCUGUCUGAAUAUGGGGGGACCAUCCUCCAAGGCUAAAUACUCCUGACUGACCGAUAGUGAACCAGUACCGUGAGGGAAAGGCGAAAAGAACCCCGGCGAGGGGAGUGAAAAAGAACCUGAAACCGUGUACGUACAAGCAGUGGGAGCACGCUUAGGCGUGUGACUGCGUACCUUUUGUAUAAUGGGUCAGCGACUUAUAUUCUGUAGCAAGGUUAACCGAAUAGGGGAGCCGAAGGGAAACCGAGUCUUAACUGGGCGUUAAGUUGCAGGGUAUAGACCCGAAACCCGGUGAUCUAGCCAUGGGCAGGUUGAAGGUUGGGUAACACUAACUGGAGGACCGAACCGACUAAUGUUGAAAAAUUAGCGGAUGACUUGUGGCUGGGGGUGAAAGGCCAAUCAAACCGGGAGAUAGCUGGUUCUCCCCGAAAGCUAUUUAGGUAGCGCCUCGUGAAUUCAUCUCCGGGGGUAGAGCACUGUUUCGGCAAGGGGGUCAUCCCGACUUACCAACCCGAUGCAAACUGCGAAUACCGGAGAAUGUUAUCACGGGAGACACACGGCGGGUGCUAACGUCCGUCGUGAAGAGGGAAACAACCCAGACCGCCAGCUAAGGUCCCAAAGUCAUGGUUAAGUGGGAAACGAUGUGGGAAGGCCCAGACAGCCAGGAUGUUGGCUUAGAAGCAGCCAUCAUUUAAAGAAAGCGUAAUAGCUCACUGGUCGAGUCGGCCUGCGCGGAAGAUGUAACGGGGCUAAACCAUGCACCGAAGCUGCGGCAGCGACACUAUGUGUUGUUGGGUAGGGGAGCGUUCUGUAAGCCUGUGAAGGUGUGCUGUGAGGCAUGCUGGAGGUAUCAGAAGUGCGAAUGCUGACAUAAGUAACGAUAAAGCGGGUGAAAAGCCCGCUCGCCGGAAGACCAAGGGUUCCUGUCCAACGUUAAUCGGGGCAGGGUGAGUCGACCCCUAAGGCGAGGCCGAAAGGCGUAGUCGAUGGGAAACAGGUUAAUAUUCCUGUACUUGGUGUUACUGCGAAGGGGGGACGGAGAAGGCUAUGUUGGCCGGGCGACGGUUGUCCCGGUUUAAGCGUGUAGGCUGGUUUUCCAGGCAAAUCCGGAAAAUCAAGGCUGAGGCGUGAUGACGAGGCACUACGGUGCUGAAGCAACAAAUGCCCUGCUUCCAGGAAAAGCCUCUAAGCAUCAGGUAACAUCAAAUCGUACCCCAAACCGACACAGGUGGUCAGGUAGAGAAUACCAAGGCGCUUGAGAGAACUCGGGUGAAGGAACUAGGCAAAAUGGUGCCGUAACUUCGGGAGAAGGCACGCUGAUAUGUAGGUGAGGUCCCUCGCGGAUGGAGCUGAAAUCAGUCGAAGAUACCAGCUGGCUGCAACUGUUUAUUAAAAACACAGCACUGUGCAAACACGAAAGUGGACGUAUACGGUGUGACGCCUGCCCGGUGCCGGAAGGUUAAUUGAUGGGGUUAGCGCAAGCGAAGCUCUUGAUCGAAGCCCCGGUAAACGGCGGCCGUAACUAUAACGGUCCUAAGGUAGCGAAAUUCCUUGUCGGGUAAGUUCCGACCUGCACGAAUGGCGUAAUGAUGGCCAGGCUGUCUCCACCCGAGACUCAGUGAAAUUGAACUCGCUGUGAAGAUGCAGUGUACCCGCGGCAAGACGGAAAGACCCCGUGAACCUUUACUAUAGCUUGACACUGAACAUUGAGCCUUGAUGUGUAGGAUAGGUGGGAGGCUUAGAAGUGUGGACGCCAGUCUGCAUGGAGCCGACCUUGAAAUACCACCCUUUAAUGUUUGAUGUUCUAACGUGGGCCCGUAAUCGGGGUUGCGGACAGUGUCUGGUGGGUAGUUUGACUGGGGCGGUCUCCUCCUAAAGAGUAACGGAGGAGCACGAAGGUUGGCUAAUCCUGGUCGGACAUCAGGAGGUUAGUGCAAUGGCAUAAGCCAGCUUGACUGCGAGCGUGACGGCGCGAGCAGGUGCGAAAGCAGGUCAUAGUGAUCCGGUGGUUCUGAAUGGAAGGGCCAUCGCUCAACGGAUAAAAGGUACUCCGGGGAUAACAGGCUGAUACCGCCCAAGAGUUCAUAUCGACGGCGGUGUUUGGCACCUCGAUGUCGGCUCAUCACAUCCUGGGGCUGAAGUAGGUCCCAAGGGUAUGGCUGUUCGCCAUUUAAAGUGGUACGCGAGCUGGGUUUAGAACGUCGUGAGACAGUUCGGUCCCUAUCUGCCGUGGGCGCUGGAGAACUGAGGGGGGCUGCUCCUAGUACGAGAGGACCGGAGUGGACGCAUCACUGGUGUUCGGGUUGUCAUGCCAAUGGCACUGCCCGGUAGCUAAAUGCGGAAGAGAUAAGUGCUGAAAGCAUCUAAGCACGAAACUUGCCCCGAGAUGAGUUCUCCCUGACUCCUUGAGAGUCCUGAAGGAACGUUGAAGACGACGACGUUGAUAGGCCGGGUGUGUAAGCGCAGCGAUGCGUUGAGCUAACCGGUACUAAUGAACCGUGAGGCUUAACCUU
rnacentral:rRNA from 1 species